rnacentral:rRNA from 1 species
GAUGAACGCUGGCGACGUGCCUAAUACAUGCAAGUAGAACGCUGAAGCUUGGUGCUUGCACCGAGCGGAUGAGUUGCGAACGGGUGAGUAACGCGUAGGUAACCUGCCUCUUAGCGGGGGAUAACUAUUGGAAACGAUAGCUAAUACCGCAUAAAAGUCGAUAUCGCAUGAUAUUGAUUUGAAAGGUGCAAUUGCAUCACUAAGAGAUGGACCUGCGUUGUAUUAGCUAGUUGGUGAGGUAACGGCUCACCAAGGCGACGAUACAUAGCCGACCUGAGAGGGUGAUCGGCCACACUGGGACUGAGACACGGCCCAGACUCCUACGGGAGGCAGCAGUAGGGAAUCUUCGGCAAUGGGGGCAACCCUGACCGAGCAACGCCGCGUGAGUGAAGAAGGUUUUCGGAUCGUAAAGCUCUGUUGUAAGAGAAGAACGAGUGUGAGAGUGGAAAGUUCACACUGUGACGGUAACUUACCAGAAAGGGACGGCUAACUACGUG